UUUCUAUUGGGUUAAUAUUUUGUGUGUUCAACAGAAAGUUCUGCUGUUGUUGCUGUAGUGACUUCAUCAGAGGGACAACUUAAAUCUACAAACAGUCUUUGUCCACGGUGAAAUGAGGGAUUUGGUUGUAUCCACAUUUGGAAAGAAGGAGUUUGCUGUUCGUAAAGGUCUGUAUAUUCUAUAUUGCUGAUAAAUGUUAUCUGUGAUUUGUUAAGUAAACUUUCAUAUAUCCUUUUUUUUAUGCAACUGUGCAGAAUACAUUUAUGUGGUUGUAAUAGUGGACUUAUUUAUUUCAGGUCUGAAUGUUUGUUUCUUGACGGAUUCAAUGUGUCGCGGCAUUGAUCAACAUUUUACAAAUGCAUACUGUUGGGUGCAUCCUGGAACAACAUUGGUGCGCUCUGCUCACCAGCAUUUGCAUCAUUUGAAGAGAAUCAGCGGUGAUACUCUGGUCAUCAUCCACAUUGGGACAAAUGACGUGGCAAGUGGAGUUUCAGCUGAUACUAUUCUUCAACGAAUGGCGGACAUGGUGGACCGCAUAUCUUCGUUUUUCAAGGACAAACUGUAUUUUGCUGUUUCCGCUGUGCUUCCUCGUUUUGUUGAUGACAAGAAGACAAAGCAUACAGUAAAGCGCUGUAACAUCUUGUUGGAGCGAUGGUGUGGAGAACGUGAGAAUAUGGUUUUUUUGCAAACAUGGAAGGCCUUUGUUUUUAGAAGAGACAUUCGGGCUGGUCUGUUCAGUGCAGAUGGUUUGCAUUUGAACAGGCAAGGGAAACUACGUCUGUUUGAUUAUUUCAAGCAUUUCUUGUGGAAUUUCUGUCAAUUUAUUGUUUAUGUGCCAUCAACAAAAAAUAAAGUGAUCUGUUGAUGUUGAGA